rnacentral:misc_RNA from 1 species
GUACCCUCAAGCUAUGCUUGGUGUUGGGUGUUUGUCCUCUCCCUUGCGUUUGGACUCGCCUUAAAGAAAUUGGCAGCCAGUGUAUUGGUAUAGAAGCGCAGCACAAUUUGCGAUUCUAGCUCAUAAUUACUUGCAACCAUCAAGUCUAUUUAACAC